rnacentral:lncRNA from 1 species
AAUUUAAUCAACCUUUCAUCUUAGGGUGAACAAUAUUGUUGAAGCACUGAAACAUAUAGAGCCCAACCAAAUCAAUUUGAUCAUACACUUUGAUAUCUUCGAAUAUAUAUAACUAAGGUUCAGAAUCAAAUUCAAUCAAUCGUCAUAUUCAUGUCAUUUUAUUAUAUUCAUGUACACUAGGGAGAUGCCCCUGGUUAAGCUAUGUAAUUGUAUACUGAAUUAUGUUAUUCAAUUUCAGUCCAUUUCGGCAUUACAAAGGUCUCUCAAUCGAAGGUGCCCUAACACUUUGUAGGGAUAAUUAACAAUAAACGCUUGCGUUUAUUGGAAGCCAUAAAUCCACAAUACCUGAUAACCAUACAUAUUUAAAUGUUAAUCUGAAUCAUAAAUACUACACCAUGGUGAAAACAGAAAAUAAGAUUAACCGUGUGAGGUAUGUCAUUCGUGGUCGCAGACAGGAGUGCUUAGAGGCAUGCAUCAUCUCUAAGGAUCGUUAGUUGUAUGAAAAUGUAUAUCAUGAAUUGGUUGUUGAUUGGUAAAUGUAGGUUGUGGUUGUGAUCCUGUUGUAUCCAUUGGUACGCCGUGCAAAUACAAAAGAGACUCUGCCCGAGUGGACAGAGGAACUUUGUAUUUGUGGCGAAUCUGUACGUCAUGUGGGCCAAGUUGAAAAAAAAAAAAAAAUUAGCACGUCUUCCGCAACUCUGUUUUCAAAAUGGCUUUUAAAAUCGGUCCCGGGACGUGACAGAUUAAGAUGGUAUCAGAGAGUGAAACAACUACAACUGCAUUUACAAGUUUUCUGUGACACCCCAAUAAUCCCACAUCGGAUAGGAAUGGGGUUGUCAUUGGGUUUAUAAGAGACUUAGACACUAUUAAUAAUAACUAGGCUUAAGCAUUUUGGGCCGGUGGUUGGGCCCAACGAGUUAUUAUUGCUAGUGGACUGGGUCGUUACAUUUAACUUUUAAACUCUAAAAACAUGAAGAGAAGAAAAAUUAAGAAAAUUAUUUAAAUAGAGAGGGAAAAAAAAAUUGACGUUUGAAGCGCGAUUUAUUAUAUGUAUUACUAAAGUUGAUUAUAAAAUUUAAUCAAAAAAGAAAUGAACAAUUAAAUAUUUAAAGUUCAAAAUUUUUUAUUUAUCCAAAAUUUAAAUUUAAAUUUAAAAUUUAAAAUGUUGAAGUUUAAAAUUUAAAUUUUAACAUAUGAAGUUGAAAUUUAAUAUUUGAAUUUUUCAAAUUCAAUUUAUAAUUUAAUAUUUAAAAUAUUGAAAUUUGAAAGUUAAAGUUUAAAACUUAAAAUUGUAAAAAUUUAUAUUUUAUCUUAAUUACUAAUACUAAAUUUUAAAAGUUUAUAAUUUUAAAUUUUAAAUUUCAGUUUCUAAAUUUUAAAUAUUAGAUUUUAUAUGAAAUUCUGCUGAAUUCUACUUUUUUUUCUCGUAUUCUGAAUUCUAUCCUUUUAUAUGUAUCAAAUAUCUUAUUGCAGAUCAGAUCAGAAUUCUAAAUUCUAAACUUUUAUAUUCAUUGAAUAAUUCGAUGCAAUUUUGAAUUCUGAAUUCUGAAUUUUCAAUCCAGAAUUCAGGUAGAUAAUUCAGAGUUCAGCUAAGCAAUCCGAAAUUCAGCUAGAUAAUUCGAAAUUCCAUGAAAAAUAUAAGGAAAAUAAAUAUACUUUGCUCAAAUUCUCCUAAAAAGUUUAUUUCUUAUUUUCAGGUUUCGACUAAAUUUGAGGAUAACUGAGUUGCUGAAGGUAAGGAGUUAGGCAGGAUGUCACGCCCCGGGGCCGAUUUUAAAAACCUUUUUAAAAUUCAUUACCAUUUUGAAACAGAGUUGCGGAAGACAUGCUAAUUUUUUUUUUCUUUUCAACCUGACCCACGUGACGUACAGAUCCGCCACAAAUACAAAGUUCCUCUGUCCACUCGGAAGAAUCUCCUUUGUAUUUGCACAGCGUACCAACUAUACAACAGGUUCUCAACCACAACCUAUAUUUACGAAUCAACAACCAAUUCAUGAUAUGCAUUUUCAUACAACUAACGAUCCUUAGAGAUAAUGCAUGCCUCUAAGCACUCCUUAGGCGCUGGAUGAUGCAAUGCACAAUACAACAAACAUCCUAUAUAAAAGUGCUCCCCACACGGAAGCUUUUCUUUUUAAACUCUAAUUCAUUCAUUCAUGAAAACCAUUCGAAAACAUUUUUAAAACUGUUUCUCACACAGAAACUCUAUUUUGAAAAUCAACUACCUCGAGGGGUAGAAAACCACGAUGCGUAAAUAUGUAUAAAUACAUAAAUCCGAGAGCUAAAUAUCCAUAAAACCAAAACCAGUGAUCCACAAAAUCUCUAAUCAUGCAUAACGAAAAUCACAAGCAUUCAAACAUCUAACUGAACCAUUUAUUAUUAACAACUACUAAAUGCGGGAAGAAAUAUAACCAGAGUGACGGUCGCUACUACUGACUAGCUAGAUCGUCCUCCUAU